AUUAGAUACCCUGGGUAGUCCACGCGGUAAACGAUGAUUACUAGGUGUCGGGGAGGAAUGACUGCCCGGUGCCGGCGCAAACGCAAUAAGUAAUCCACCUGGGGAGUACGUUCGCAAGAAUGAAACUCAAAGGAAUUGACGGGGACCCGCACAAGCGGUGGAGCAUGUGGUUUAAUUCGACGCAACGCGAAGAACCUUACCCGGCCUUGACAUCCCCACGGACAGGGGGCAAUGCCCCUGGACCUUCGGGGCGUGGGAGACAGGUGGUGCAUGGUUGUCGUCAGCUCGUGUCGUGAGAUGUUGGGUUAAGUCCCGCAACGAGCGCAACCCUUGCCCCCAGUAGCCAGCAGGCAAGGCUGGGCACUCUGGGGGGACUGCCCGGGAGAACCGGGAGGAAGGCGGGGAUGACGUCAAAUCAUCAUGCCCCUUAUGGCCGGGGCUACACACGUGCUACAAUGGCGCCAACAGAGGGAGGCAAGCCGGCGACGGCAAGCGAAUCCCGGAAAAGGCGCCCCAGUUCGGAUUGCAGCCUGCAACUCGGCUGCAUGAAGCUGGAAUCGCUAGUAAUCGCGGAUCAGAAUGCCGCGGUGAAUGCGUUCCCGGGUCUUGUACACACCGCCCGUCACACCAUGGGAGCCGGGAAUGCCCGAAGUCAGCGGCCUAACCCGCAAGGGGGGAGCUGCCGAAGGCAGGCCUGGUAACUGGGGUGAAGUCGUAACAAGGUACC
rnacentral:rRNA from 1 species